rnacentral:rRNA from 1 species
GCUUCUCUGGAUGAGUUGCGAACGGGUGAGUAACGCGUAGGUAACCUGCCUGGUAGCGGGGGAUAACUAUUGGAAACGAUAGCUAAUACCGCAUAAUAGCAGUUGUUGCAUGAUAACUGUUUGAAAGGUGCAAUUGCACCACUACCAGAUGGACCUGCGUUGUAUUAGCUAGUUGGUGGGGUAACGGCUCACCAAGGCGACGAUACAUAGCCGACCUGAGAGGGUGAUCGGCCACACUGGGACUGAGACACGGCCCAGACUCCUACGGGAGGCAGCAGUAGGGAAUCUUCGGCAAUGGACGGAAGUCUGACCGAGCAACGCCGCGUGAGUGAAGAAGGUUUUCGGAUCGUAAAGCUCUGUUGUAAGAGAAGAACGAGUGUGAGAGUGGAAAGUUCACACUGUGACGGUAUCUUACCAGAAAGGGACGGCUAACUACGUGCCAGCAGCCGCGGUAAUACGUAGGUCCCGAGCGUUGUCCGGAUUUAUUGGGCGUAAAGCGAGCGCAGGCGGUUAGAUAAGUCUGAAGUUAAAGGCUGUGGCUUAACCAUAGUACGCUUUGGAAACUGUUUAACUUGAGUGCAAGAGGGGAGAGUGGAAUUCCAUGUGUAGCGGUGAAAUGCGUAGAUAUAUGGAGGAACACCGGUGGCGAAAGCGGCUCUCUGGCUUGUAACUGACGCUGAGGCUCGAAA